rnacentral:rRNA from 1 species
GACGAACCGUGCGAACGUUAUUCGGAAUCACUGGGCUUAAAGCGCGUGUAGGCGGGAGGGCACGUCCGUCGCUGAAAUCCCCCGGCUCAACCGGGGAACGGGCGCGGAUACGACCUUCCUUGAGGGGCGUAGGGGGACCUGGAACUUCCGGUGGAGCGGUGAAAUGCGUUGAGAUCGGAAGGAACGCCCGUGGCGAAAGCGGCUCUCUGGGACGGUACUGACGCUGAGACGCGAAAGCGUGGGGAGCGAACAGG